UCCGCGAUAGCUCAGUUGGUAGAGCAAUCGACUGUUAAUCGAUUGGUCGCAGGUUCGAGUCCUGCUCGCGGAGCCA
rnacentral:tRNA from 1 species